rnacentral:lncRNA from 1 species
GUCUUGAUGCCACCUUCUGAGAUUGAGGCUAUGUUCUCAGCUCUACAGAUGGGAGACAGGGAGAGAGGCUUGGGAAGCUGUACCAGGUUAUCUUUUUCUGACAAAGGACUAACUUCUUGGGAGUUUGUGUCACCUCUUCUGUUGAAGUACCACUGGGAUGCUUCAGGAUUUUCAUGUCAGAGAGGCUAACAAUGAGAACACAUGGACACAGGAAGGGGAACGCCACACUCUGGGGACUGUUGUGGGGUGGGGGGAGGGAUAGCUUUAGGAGAUAUACCUAAUGCUAAAUGACGAGUUAUUGGGUGCAGCACACCAACAUGGCACAUGUAUACAUAUGUACCUAACCUGCACAUUGUGCACAUGUACCCUAAAACUUAAAGUAUAAUAAUAAUAAAAAAAAUUUCCUCACCAGGCACUCUGA